AGAGUUUGAUCCUGGCUCAGAUUGAACGCUGGCGGCAUGCCUUACACAUGCAAGUCGAACGGUAGAGGGGCAACCCUUGAGAGUGGCGAACGGGUGAGUAAUGCAUCGGAACGUGCCCAGUCGUGGGGGAUAACGCAGCGAAAGCUGUGCUAAUACCGCAUGUGAUCUGUGGAUGAAAGCAGGGGACUUGGUAGCAAUACUGGGCCUUGUGCGAUUGGAGCGGCCGAUGUCAGAUUAGCUAGUUGGUAGGGUAAAAGCCUACCAAGGCGACGAUCUGUAGCUGGUCUGAGAGGACGACCAGCCACACUGGGACUGAGACACGGCCCAGACUCCUACGGGAGGCAGCAGUGGGGAAUUUUGGACAAUGGGCGCAAGCCUGAUCCAGCAAUGCCGCGUGCAGGACGGAGGCCUUCGGGUUGUAAACUGCUUUUGUACGGAGCGAAACGGUCUGGGUUAAUACCCUAGGCUAAUGACGGUACCGUAAGAAUAAGCACCGGCUAACUACGUGCCAGCAGCCGCGGUAAUAC
rnacentral:rRNA from 1 species